UCCUACCUCCACGUUUCAAGCGAAGGGGCCGAGGGAAGGCCUGGAUGUUUAUGUCAAGGAAAAAUAACUUCUCCCUCUGUGUACAAUCCUCCGGCUCCCCCAGGGCUACGUGCGGGAGGAGCUCCUGCUUGGCCCCCAGAGCUUCACGGCAAACAAAACAUCAGAAACCCGGGCUGGCGGUGCAGGAAGGAAACCUGCUCACGUGGGGGCUGAGUCACGAUCCUGCUGCUCCCUUCUGGCAUCCCAGGGAACAAGGCAGCAUCAGCUUCAGUGGGAAAGGCUGGAUUUGCUUCCUUAACACAUAAAGAGUCUCCAUGCUGCCCUUUUGGGCCUCGGCCAAAAUCCAGGGAGGAUGCUGAAAAGCUGAGUUUAAAACAGGCUCCUCAGCCCCCCUGACCUGGGACCAGCUAUUUGAUUUUCUACUGUCAGCGCCAGACUUCUUGUCUUGAGCAUCACAUGAUACCACGAAGACUGUCACCACUCGGACCCCUCCAGACCCAGCAAAGGCCGGAGGUCUAAUGUAUGUCUGAACCCAGGAGCACCAUCAGCUCUGGUCUGGAGGGGCCGGUAUUCCCAGCUCCCGAUCUACAGGAGAAAAAAAACAUAGAUAGAUAUAGAUAUAGAUACAGCUAUAGAUAUAGAUAUAGAUAUGGAUAUAGAUAUAGAUGUACACACACAGAGGAGAUAUGACACAUAUAUAUAUAUAUGUAUAAGUAAGGUGAGGACAAACUUUAGUAGGACCUGUAGCGAUAGGACAAGGGGAAAUGGUUUUAAGCUAAAAAAAGGUAAAUUCAGACUGCAUAUUAGGAAGAAAUUUUUUAUGAUGAGGGUGGUGAAACACUGGCACAAGCUGCCCAAAGAGGUUAGAAUCCCUGGCAGUGUUCAAGGCCAGGCUGGACAGGACUUGGAGCAACCUGGUCUGGUGGAAGGGGUCCCUGCCCAUGGCAGGGGGGUUGGACUAGAUGGCCUUUAAAGGUCCCUUCCAACCCAAACUGUGCUAUGAUUCUAUAAUUAUAUACAUAUGCACACACAGAGGAGAUAUGGCACGUAUAUAUCUCUGCACACAGGCCACCUCUGGCCAGACCUAAGACCAAGAAGCCCAUGGUGUUGCUGUUUCUGAGGGGGUAAGGAAAGCAUGUCUGAAGAUGAGCGUAAGAAUGUGGCAAGUGGAGUGAUGCACCCCAGCACCUCUCCCUCUUCAGGCCACCUCCAGCUCAGGACUUUAUGAAGUCUCUGUCUUGACUUGCCCUCAUUGGGGUUUUAUUCUAUACAUUUGCUUGGUUGUGGGUUUAAAACUUUGAUACUUUUCACAACCCUGCUCCAGUGAUGAACCACCUCCUUCAGUUGCUUUGAUCCUGCCACCUGCCAGGUUCGUUUGAUACCAUAUUUCUCCAAUUGUGUUUCUUAUUUGUUCUCUCUGAGCCACGCAUGAUUUUGUAACCAUAUACCCUAUCCCACCCCUUUAGCCGUCUCUUUUCCAGUCUGGAGACCUCCAGUCUUCCUCUCUGGGCAUCAUUCUACCUCAGGAGUGCUAAGACUUGAUUUGUUUGUUACUCACUUCAGCAAUAUUCAUCCAGGUACUGGGGCCAGGCGCUGCAGAGGGAGACCUGUGUGUUGUGGAGUUUCAACAGCUUUAAGCUAUCAUUAAGGGGGGGGAGACUGGGUGGAGGAGACACGAAAGGAUGCUGGGUGGGUGUGGGAAUGAUGGCACGCACUGUGAGCACUGAGUGGGAGGCCGGGGGUGGGACCCAGUCUAAGCAAGACAGGAGACA